rnacentral:rRNA from 1 species
AGAGUUUGAUCCUGGCUCAGAACGAACGUUAGCGGCGCGCUUAACACAUGCAAGUCGAACGAUAAGCCCUUCGGGGUGGAAAGUGGCGCACGGGUGAGUAACACGUAGGUAAUCUACCCCUGAGUGGUGGAUAACGUUCCGAAAGGGACGCUAAUACAGCAUAACACCACGGCUCUUCGGAGUUUUGGCCAAAGUGGGGGAUCUUCGGACCUCAUGCUUAGGGACGAGCCUGCGGCCCAUCAGUUAGUUGGUAGUGUAAUGGACUACCAAGGCAAAGACGGGUAGCUGGUCUGAGAGGAUGAACAGCCACACUGGAACUGAGACACGGUCCAGACUCCUACGGGAGGCAGCAGUGGGGAAUCUUGCGCAAUGGGCGAAAGCCUGACGCAGCGACGCCGCGUGAGCGAUGAAGGCCCUCGGGUUGUAAAGCUCUGUGGAUGGAGACGAAUAAGUACUAGUUAACACCUAGUGCGAUGACGGUAUCCAUUUAGCAAGCACCGGCUAACUCUGUGCCAGCAGCCGCGGUAAGACAGAGGGUGCAAACGUUGUUCGGAAUUACUGGGCGUAAAGCGCGUGUAGGCGGCAUCGUAAGUCGGAUGUGAAAUCCCGCGGCUCAACCGUGGAAGUGCACCCGAAACUGCGGAGCUAGAGUCCCGGAGAGGAAGGUGGAAUGCUAGGUGUAGAGGUGAAAUUCGUAGAUAUCUAGCGGAACACCGGUGGCGAAGGCGGCCUUCUGGACGGUGACUGACGCUGAGACGCGAAAGCGUGGGUAGCAAACAGGAUUAGAUACCCUGGGUAGUCCACGCCGUAAACGAUGAGUGCUAGGUGUCAGAGGCUUUGACCCUUUCUGGUGCCGAAGCUAACGCGUUAAGCACUCCGCCUGGGGGAGUACGGCCGCAAUGCUAAACUCAAAUGAAUUGACG